UAACGAUACGGGACUCAUCCGAGGCCCCGUAAUCGGAAUGAGUACACUUUAAAUCCUUUAACGAGGACCCAUUGGAGGGCAAGUCUGGUGCCAGCAGCCGCGGUAAUUCCAGCUCCAAUAGCGUAUAUUAAAGUUGUUGCGGUUAAAAAGCUCGUAGUUGAAUCUGUGUGCCACGCUGUCGGUUCAUCGCUCGCGAUGUUUAACUGACAUGAUUGUGGGACGUCCUACCGGUGGGCUUAGCUCCUCACGGGGCGGUCCAGCUAAUAUCCCAUCGCGGUGCUCUUGAUCGAGUGUCGAGGUGGGCCGGUACGUUUACUUUGAACAAAUUAGAGUGCUCAAAGCAGGCUAUGUUCGCCUGAAUACUGCGUGCAUGGAAUAAUGGAAUAGGACCUCGGUUCUAUUUUGUUGGUUUUCGGAACCCCGAGGUAAUGAUUAAUAGGGACAGAUGGGGGCAUUCGUAUUGCGACGUUAGAGGUGAAAUUCUUGGAUCGUCGCAAGACGGACAGAAGCGAAAGCAUUUGCCAAAAAUGUUUUCAUUAAUCAAGAACGAAAGUUAGAGGUUCGAAGGCGAUCAGAUACCGCCCUAGUUCUAACCAUAAACGAUGCCAGCUAGCGAUCCGCCGAAGUUCCUCCGAUGACUCGGCGGGCAGCUUCCGGGAAACCAAAGCUUUUGGGUUCCGGGGGAAGUAUGGUUGCAAAGCUGAAACUUAAAGGAAUUGACGGAAGGGCACCACCAGGAGUGGAGCCUGCGGCUUAAUUUGACUCAACAC
rnacentral:rRNA from 1 species